rnacentral:tRNA from 1 species
CAGGGGAUAGUCUAAGGUUAUGAUCUUAGCUUUGGGAGUUGAGGAUAGAAGUUAAAAUCUUCUUCCCCUGA